rnacentral:rRNA from 1 species
UACGUAGGGUGCGAGCGUUGUCCGGAAUCAUUGGGCGUAAAGAGCGUGUAGGCGGCCAGAUAAGUCCGCUGUGAAAUCUCGAGGCUCAACUUCGAGCUGUCGGUGGAAACUGUCUGGCUAGAGUCCGGAAGAGGAGAAUGGAAUUCCUGGUGUAGCGGUGAAAUGCGCAGAUAUCAGGAAGAACACCCGUGGCGAAGGCGGGUCUCUGGGCCGAUACUGACGCUGAGGAGCGAAAGCGUGGGGAGCGAACAGG